UACGUAGGGUGCGAGCGUUGUCCGGAAUUACUGGGCGUAAAGAGCUCGUAGGCGGUUUGUCGCGUUGUUCGUGAAAACCGGGGGCUUAACCUUCGGCGUGCGGGCGAUACGGGCAGACUGGAGUACUGCAGGGGAGACUGGAAUUCCUGGUGUAGCGGUGGAAUGCGCAGAUAUCGGGAAGAACACCAAUGGCGAAAGCAGCUUUCUGGGACGGUACUGACGCUGAGACGCGAAAGCGUGGGGAGCGAACAGG
rnacentral:rRNA from 1 species